rnacentral:ncRNA from 1 species
CUGUUGUAUGAAAGGAGAGAAGGUGAUACCGUGGGCCUUACAACGUGCGUGCGGUUAGACAUGGCCACCUACAUCCUGGCACCUAACCAUCAUUUUGU